UUGACGUUGAUCAUGUUGUUAUUUUGUCAUCUAAAAACUCAGGCAAAAUGUCUCCUUCAAGACCGUCCAUUGGAUUCAUGUUAAUGUGGCUGUUCAUCAGAGGCUGACCGGACCUAUCAAGAUCUCAUGUGGAUUUGGGGAGUCAAAAUGAUCGACAAAACUGCCCGGAGUGAAAGAAUAUAAAAGGGACAUCUGAUUCUUACAUGGACAGCAACAUCUGAUUCCUACAGGACCUAAACAUCUGACUCCUACAUGGACAUCAACAUUUAUACCUACGGCGAACAUCAACAUUGUUCCCUACAUGGACAGCAACAUCACUAAAUUACUACAUGGAGAGCAAUGUUUUUAUUUUUACAUGGACAGCAACAUCUGAUUCAUACAUGGACAGCAACAUCUGAUUCAUACAUGGACAGCAACAUCUGAUUCAUACAUGGACAGCAACAUCUGAUUCAUACAUGGACAGCAACAUCUGAUUCUUACAUGGACAGCAACAUCUGAUUCAUACAUGGACAGCAACAUCUGAUUCAUACAUGGACAGCAACAUCUGAUUCUUACAUGGACAGCAACAUCUGAUUCAUACAUGGACAGGAACAUCUGAUAUGUGAGGAUAAUGGUUACACAUCGAGAACGAUCAUCACAAACUUUCGUCAUUCAGGAUUUUUGUUAAGGGCAGACAGACAGUACACAGUUGAAGGAUUCGCUUAAAAGUUUCUUUAAUCAUGUUUAUUAAAUCCUGAUCUUUGAAGUAAUAUAUUUAGGUGUUUUUUUUUAAAGAUUCUAAAUUUAGUUUCAGUGUAGGCCUACUUAUUAAUGAUCCAUGUCAUUAAUGUUGCCACAAUUAUUUCCAUGUCAGAGUGUUAGUAAUUAUUUGAUGUCAAUAAUUUACUGGUAAAAAAAGCUGAUUAUAGAUAUUCUUGAUUUAAUUAAGAAUGAACGAUUAACGUUAAUUCGUGUUAUAGCAUUGAGACUUCAUUGAAAUUAUUGCUAUAUUAAAAUUGUUUAUUAUUAUUAUCGAAAUAAAUAAAAAUGGUACAAUAUUAAUCUCAACGUGUUUUUGUCCGACUGUCAUUAUUUUUUUGUCAAACCUGUAUUUAUUUGUUUAAAAAGAUUUAUGCGACUUCAUAAAACGAAACGCAGUCUUAGCGUAUUCACACUUGAUUAAAUUUUAUUAAUUUGUUUUUUUUUUAACUAAAUUUUAUAUUAAAAUAAAAAAGACAAACAAGUUUAUGUUUCCUUGUGGCCGAGUAGGCUUUGACGGGUAGUCUUGAUUCAAGAAUUUUAUCCUUGAGAGAGCGCCCUCUUGUGGCAAUAUUAAUUACUUACGGCAAUAUAAUCACAUAUUAAUUAAUAUCGCCACAAGAGGGCGCUCUCUCGACGACUGAUCCAGAGACUGAUCGCUACUGUGUAGUAUACGCGUAUAUACAGUGUGUACGUCAAACUUCGUUCUAAUGUUUACCACCUCGAAAAUUUUUUUCUCCAACCCGGAAGACGCCAUAGCCUAGCGGAUAGGGAGACGGCUUCGAAGACAUCUUGGAGACAUCUGUGCGGGUUCGAGCCCCGGCCUGGACACCACCAUCAUGGAGACACGCUCACCAGAGGAACGCCCACGGACCCCGGACCACGACGAGGAGGCAACAUGGCGGAGAUACACCAGGGGCAGGCGUGGACCCGGAGAGAGAGAGAGAGGGGGAGUGGUGGACCGGGCAGGAAGGGAAGUGGGGACGAGAUUUUUCUUUUAAUUAAAUUUUAUUUAAUUUUAAUUAAAAAAAAAAAAAAAAAAA